ensembl:lncRNA ASMER1 adipocyte associated metabolic related lncRNA 1
AGAUCCCUUGGCCCUUCCACCAUGUGAGUAUACAGAGAGAAGACUCCUGCCCCUGCCACGAGAACACACCCUUUCCAGUUUGCUGGAGAAAUAUAAGAGAAGUCCAGUGAAAGAGAGCUGAGUUUCCCCAAUGAUGCCAUCAAGAUGAACUAACUACAGUUAACCAGCCAGCUGAUAGCAGAUGCAUGAGUGAGCCCAGCUGAGAGCAGGUUGUGCAAGCAUGGCACGUGCAUCUGUUUGGCUUGUGGUGAGGCCUCAGGAAGCUUACAGUCAUGGUGGAAGGCAAAGAGGGAGCCAGUACAUCACGUGAACUCGUAGAGUGAGAACUCAUUCACUACCAUGAAGACAACACCAAGCCAUUCCUGAGGUGAAACUGAAAUUGGCUGUAUCAUCUGAAACUUCAUCUGUGAAGUCCCUGGUGGUUUCCUAGAUGACUACACAGUUGAGUUGCCUCUGAUUGGAAAAGCAGUGUUUUGGUUUUUCAGUUUGUACAAGAGGAAGAAGACGCAUGAUAUGUGUUUGGCUCAUGUGCCUGAAUAUGGCUCCACAGGGAAGACUUGAUACAGCUGAAGCUAUUGCUUUUUAGAGACUUUUUAUUUUGAGCAGCUGCCUUAACAGCCUUCGUCUUGUUACAUCACAUGAGAUAUAUCUCUGGAAUAGGAAGAGAAAAAAGACAUGACUGAGCAAUAAUUUUUGACUAAAACUUAAAAUUACAAAACCAAAACCAGAGAUAGAUGUCCCUGAAGUUGUAUUUUUAUAGUAUGUGAGAACACAAUUUUCUUAUCCUAGUUUUAAGGCAUUCCUCUGGACCCAGGAUUUUUGUUUAGUUUCAUUCACAUAAUCAAACUCUUUUUUUUUUUUUUGCCAUAGACUAAUGCAUUUUGGUGUAAUGAUCUGAGCCCUUAUCCAGAAGGCAUCUAAGACUCAUGUACAAAAAUAGAUUUCAGGGCUAAACAUUCUAAAAGACAAUUGAGUGCUUCUUUUUUCUCCGGCCCCUAGAUGUAAAUGAAUAACCUCUGUUCACUAACUCUUAAUGUAAUAUAAGGGAUAAAUUAUGCUUGUUUAUUUAAUUGUGCUUAACCAGAGUACUAGGUUGGAGUCAAACCACAGAUAUAUUUGUGAGAUGUGACAAAAUGUAGCUUUUAGCCCGUAAUACCCAAGUCAUCUGGGAACAUAACUGAUGACAGUGUCAACACCUUUCAGGAAUUCUGGAGGUGCCUUUGAGUUUAGAAAUUCGUAGGUUCUCUAGAAGCAACAGUAGCAUACUAAAUUAACACAUAACAUUUCAAGCUACAUUUACAUAAUUGCAGUGGUUAUGAUUAAUACAAAUUAUAUUAACUGCCUGUUUUACUCCUUAUAGCUGAUUGGCUGAAUUUACCAGUGGGUUUGGUAUGUUCAACAAAUGAUCCAAAUUACCUUUUCAUUUCAGUUAAGAAACUAAUCAAAGCAAAUACACUUUGAUUUGUUGAGAGGCAGAGAUUCUCCCUAAGUGGCAAUGUCCUUGGCCUUCUAAGCUAAAACCUAAAUGGAACUAUAAUAUAUAUUUUGAUGCUUUAUCUCACUUGAGUUUUUUAUUCUUUAACUGAAGGGCAGCCAUGGACCAUAAAUACAUAGAAGAUAAAAAUAUAUUGAGCUUAGGAGUUUGGUCUGUUCAAUGGAUGAGAACUUUAUAUUUUCCCUUAUAAACACAAUUUUCAAAGAAUAGCCUGUAAUAGUCGUGAAAAUGGAAACCAAUACUGGGGAAAUGUGGACUGCAACUCUGAAAAGGUAUCAAAAUGCCCGAUAGUUCAACACAAGGGCUAAGCAAUAUUUCAGGGAUGUGGCCUGUCUUUGGUGGCUCGGUCACUCUAGUGAGAUGAAUUUGGAAAAGGAUAGGCAUACAGAAUCCCCCCUCUGGCAGGGUUUGCCUUUGGGGUCUGCUUAAAGCCAUGUUUGCUAGUAGAAAUCUUGAGUAACCAGAUAUGUUUUAUAAUGCUGUGUCAUAUUUAAAUUCUGAUGAGAUUGACAUCUUUAAAUAAGCUUGGACACAGAUUGGAUUUGUACAGGGAACUGGACUGAAGAAUAAUCGUAGGUCAGUAAUAGAUUUAGAUAUACUAUUUUUAUAUUGUAAGCAGUUACUUCUCAGGAUUAGUAUUCUAAUUCAUUUGAUUUAAUAUGUAAUAGGUAAUAUUAAAAAUAAAGAUUUUAUGCUUUGAAA